rnacentral:lncRNA from 1 species
GGUAGAAUGGUUUCAGAGAUUUGUACUCUGAAACCAUUUUCCUGGUAGAAUGGUUUCAGUGAGUUGAUGUAAGGUAAUGAAAAAUGAGAUUAAGGUAGUGAAAAAUUGGGUUUUUUUUUCUGUGUCCAAAUCAAACGAACCAAGUCUCUAUUUGUAGAGAAAAAAAAAUUAUGAAUUUUGGUUUAAAAAAAAAAAUAAAAAUUUAAUUUACAACGAAAUAAUUGAGUUCAAAGUAUUAAAUGGAAAAAAAUCACGCCCAGCAAUCAGACAGCGACACGUGUCCUGCUUUUAAAAAGUAGAUUCUUCUCUCUCCAGGGUGUAAUCCAGUGUGGUGCACGCGCUGGAAUCUGAUGGAUUCGGAUGAUCUG